AAGAACUAAUUACUUUUG
rnacentral:snRNA from 1 species